CGAGCGAACAGACGAGGAGCUUGCUCCUCUGACGUUAGCGGCGGACGGGUGAGUAACACGUGGAUAACCUACCUAUAAGACUGGGAUAACUUCGGGAAACCGGAGCUAAUACCGGAUAAUAUAUUGAACCGCAUGGUUCAAUAGUGAAAGACGGUUUUGCUGUCACUUAUAGAUGGAUCCGCGCCGCACUAGCUAGUUGGUAAGGUAACGGCUUACCAAGGCAACGAUGCGUAGCCGACCUGAGAGGGUGAUCGGCCACACUGGAACUGAGACACGGUCCAGACUCCUACGGGAGGCAGCAGUAGGGAAUCUUCCGCAAUGGGCGAAAGCCUGACGGAGCAACGCCGCGUGAGUGAUGAAGGUCUUCGGAUCGUAAAACUCUGUUAUUAGGGAAGAACAAAUGUGUAAGUAACUAUGCACGUCUUGACGGUACCUAAUCAGAAAGCCACGGCUAACUACGUGCCAGCAGCCGCGGUAAUACGUAGGUGGCAAGCGUUAUCCGGAAUUAUUGGGCGUAAAGCGCGCGUAGGCGGUUUUUUAAGUCUGAUGUGAAAGCCCACGGCUCAACCGUGGAGGGUCAUUGGAAACUGGAAAACUUGAGUGCAGAAGAGGAAAGUGGAAUUCCAUGUGUAGCGGUGAAAUGCGCAGAGAUAUGGAGGAACACCAGUGGCGAAGGCGA
rnacentral:rRNA from 1 species